AAACUGAAUGGUUGAAAUGACCAAAAAAAAAGGUUGCAACCAUUUAAAAUGGUUGUUUCAACCAAUUAAAUUGGUUAAAACCAAAUUAAAAUGGUAGAAAUAACCAAUAAAAAAUUGGUAAAAUGGAUAUGAAAGCUCAUAUUGGUAAAAACAACCAAAUAUAUUUAGUAGCAACAAAUAAAAUUUGGUUAAAUUUACCAAUUACUCUUUGUGGUCAAUGGGGUAUAUUUGUAGACUUCUGGUUCUAUGUUCUAUUGAAUCCAAUAAAAUAUGCUAGAAUGCUAUAGCACAUUCUAAAUCCUAUGGCUAUAGAAUAUUCUAUAGGACUUCUUAUGAUCUUAUGCUAUAUAGAAUUCCAUUGCCGUAUUCUAUAGAAUUCACAAAUCCUAUAGAAUUUACAAAUCCUAUAGAAUAUUAAAUCUUAAAAUUAAAUUUCUCAGCAAAAAUCACUCGUUUUGUAAGGACAAAUCACACAUGCAUGUAUCUGUAAACUGUCUUCAUAAUAUACCUGUUCGCAGGUUACGUGGCGGGCGUUUUGCCCAAAGAGGACCGCAAGGUUAUGUGGGACUUGUAUAACCGACACGCGUUAUUUUCAAAUUUUGAGCGCGUCUUUGACUCUUUGUCAUCGGUUCAAGGUUUUAUAGUAGAAUUUAGUGAGUUUUUCUUUCGUAUUUUAACAUAAAAUACGCGUUAUUUGAAUUUGUCAAUGAGUAGUCAUGCGAAAUUGGUGAAACACGCUGGAUUAAUAUGCGAGGAGAUCCGGAUUAUUUGUGAAUAGUGACUGUGAUCGCGAGGAAGAAGUAAUUGUGUCAUGGCCAUGUGGAAUUUCUAAAGUUGAUAAGAAAAUAAUCAAAGGUUCCAUUCAACUAUCUACAAUUUCAACAACAACAUGUGUACAGCUAAAGUAUUAUAAUUCAGUGGCUUCAAGAUCACCUUUAAGUGCAAGAUUCUUGUGACUGAUGCUGAAUCAGAAAUCCUCAAAUUCUGAUGCUGAAUCAGAAAUCCUCAAAUUCUGAUGCUGAAUCAGAAAUGGCAAGUAUUAUUGUAUUUAUGCUGUCAAAACUCAACAACUGUAAAUCCUACUUCUGGUGAAUCAUAUAGAUAAUAUAAUAUACCUUUUAUUUAUAUCAUUAUAAAUAGGGCCAUUACAACUAUUUCUGUCAAUGCUUUUGCAGUACAUUUAUAAAUUCUAUAGCUAUAUCAUGGCAUCAUGCUAAGAAUGAAUAAGGUGUCAAAUGUUUAAAUUUCAUAUUUACUGUUAAAAUUUACAGAUUUUCUUAUAUCCAAACAUAUUAACCAAAGGUCAAAAUUUGGUUUAUGCAAUUAUGGGCAUGUCAAGGAUGCAAGAACAACUUUGCUCUCAUUCCAUCCCUGGGAAACUUUCAAAUUAUGCCUUUAAAGAAAAGGAUGCAAAACCCCAACUCGACCCAGAGAAAGUUAAGAGUAUAUGUGGUAAGUAGUAAUUGUUAGUAACUAUUUGUGGAAGUUAAUAUAUCUUAUAUACAUAUCUUGGUUUAUCUAAUUGUUGACUUUUACUUUUUCUGUGUGUAGAGCAUCAUUUCGAUGCACAUGGUUAAGAUGCCCAAACAUUGAUUCAAAGAAGCCAUCAAUGCUGGCUGUUCUGGAAAAGAACAAGAACAAAGAUGUCCAACACAUUAUUGGUCUAUUAGAGGAUUGUCACCCGAACUAGAAAAAGGAUGACAGUGGUGUUGAAAUUUAGACCAUUGUAAAAAAAGAACAUUCCCGAAGUUGCUAUUAACUGGAUCUCUUGGUUACAUCCAUUCACUGGACCUUUUGGCUGAAGGCAUGGUAGCAAUAAAGUUUAAGCAGUUUUCCAUCUUAAAUGCUGUUGUGUGUUUGCUGACUGCAUUGUAUGUAUCCAACGCAGAGAACCCUAAAGAUGGAGGUGGGUAGACAAAGAAUGUGUUCCUUCUUCUGGACCAGA